CUACGGGGCGCAGCAGUGAGGAAUAUUGCACAAUGGAGGAAACUCUGAUGCAGCAACGCCGCGUGGAGGAUGACGCAUUUCGGUGUGUAAACUCCUUUUAUAUGUCAAGAAAAUGACGGUAGCAUAUGAAUAAGCACCGGCUAACUCCGUGCCAGCAGCCGCGGUAAUACGGAGGGUGCAAGCGUUACUCGGAAUCACUGGGCGUAAAGGACGCGUAGGCGGGAUAUCAAGUCAGGUGUGAAAGCCUACAGCUUAACUGUAGAACUGCACUUGAAACUGGUAACCUAGAGUAUGGGAGGGGGAGAUGGAAUUAGUGGUGUAGGGGUAAAAUCCGUAGAUAUCACUAGGAAUACCUAAAGCGAAGGCGAUCUCCUGGAACAUAACUGACGCUAAGGCGUGAAAGCGUGGGGAGCAAACAGGAUUAGAUACCCCGGUAGUC
rnacentral:rRNA from 1 species